rnacentral:rRNA from 1 species
GAUGAACGCUGGCGGCGUGCUUAACACAUGCAAGUCGAACGGAAAGGCUCCUGCUUGCAGGGGUACUCGAGUGGCGAACGGGUGAGUAACACGUGGGUGAUCUGCCCUGCACUUCGGGAUAAGCCUGGGAAACUGGGUCUAAUACCGGAUAGGACGAUGGUUUGGAUGCCAUUGUGGAAAGUUUUUCGGUGUGGGAUGAGCUCGCGGCCUAUCAGCUUGUUGGUGGGGUAAUGGCCUACCAAGGCGUCGACGGGUAGCCGGCCUGAGAGGGUGUACGGCCACAUUGGGACUGAGAUACGGCCGAGACUCCUACGGGAGGCAGCAGUGGGGAAUAUUGCACAAUGGGCGCAAGCCUGAUGCAGCGACGCCGCGUGGGGGAUGACGGCCUUCGGGUUGUAAACUCCUUUCGCUAGGGACGAAGCGCAAGUGACGGUACCUGGAGAAGAAGCACCGGCUAACUACGUG